UGAGUGGAAGCAGGGACUUUUKCUGUGAAAAAAUUAKAGUGUUCAAACCAGGCCUUYSCUCGAAUACAUUAGCAUGGAAUAAUAGAAUAGGACGUGCGGUUCUAUUUUGUUGGUUUCUAGGACCGCCGUAAUGAUUAAUAGGGAUAGUCGGGGGCRUCAGUAUUCAGCUGUCAGAGGUGAAAUUCUUGGAUUUGCUGAAGACUAACUACUGCGAAAGCAUUCGCCAAGGAUGUUUUCAUUAAUCAGGGAACGAAAGUUAGGGGAUSGAAGASGAUCAGAUMCCGUSGUAGUCUUAACCAUAAACUAUGCCGACUAGGGAUCGGGCGGUGUUUCUAUGAUGACCCSCUCGGCACCUUACGAGAAAUCAAAGUUUUUGGGUUCUGGGGGGAGUAUGGUCGCAAGGCUGAAACUAAAGAAAUGACGAAGCCACMCMGGGGC
rnacentral:rRNA from 1 species